rnacentral:sRNA from 1 species
GCCAGGUGUGGUGAUGCACACCUGUAAUCCCAGUGGCUCAGGAGGCUGAGGCAGGAGGAUCAAGAGUUCAAAGCCACCUCAGCAAAAAUCGAGUCACUAAGCAACUCAGUGAAACCCUGUCUCUA